rnacentral:tRNA from 1 species
GAGCUCAGUGGUGGAGCAUCUGCUUUGCACGCAGAAGAUCCUAGGUUCAACCCAGGGGCAUCU